UUGCAUAUUCCAAAAAGCGGUGGAAAAGAAACCAACAGGGAUUGCCCUAGUAACGGCGAGUGAAGCGGCAACAGCUCAAAUUUGAAAUCUGGCUCUUUCAGAGUCCGAGUUGUAAUUUGCAGAGGGCGCUUUGGCUUUGGCAGCGGUCCAAGUUCCUUGGAACAGGACGUCACAGAGGGUGAGAAUCCCGUACGUGGUCGCUAGCUAUUGCCGUGUAAAGCCCCUUCGACGAGUCGAGUUGUUUGGGAAUGCAGCUCUAAAUGGGAGGUAAAUUUCUUCUAAAGCUAAAUAUUGGCCAGAGACCGAUAGCGCACAAGUAGAGUGAUCGAAAGAUGAAAAGCACUUUGGAAAGAGAGUCAAACAGCACGUGAAAUUGUUGAAAGGGAAGCGCUUGCAGCCAGACUUGCUUGCAGUUGCUCAUCCGGGCUUUUGCCCGGUGCACUCUUCUGUAGGCAGGCCAGCAUCAGUUUGGGCGGUGGGAUAAAGGUCUCUGUCACGUACCUCUCUUCGGGGAGGCCUUAUAGGGGAGACGACAUACCACCAGCCUAGACUGAGGUCCGCGCAUCUGCUAGGAUGCUGGCGUAAUGGCUGUAAGCGGCCCGUCUUGAAAACACGGACCCAAA
rnacentral:rRNA from 1 species